rnacentral:rRNA from 1 species
CACGGCCCAGACUCCUACGGGAGGCAGCAGUGGGGAAUAUUGGACAAUGGGCGCAAGCCUGAUCCAGCCAUGCCGCGUGAGUGAUGAAGGCCCUAGGGUUGUAAAGCUCUUUCAGCGAGGAGGAUAAUGACGUUACUCGCAGAAGAAGCCCCGGCUAACUUCGUGCCAGCAGCCGCGGUAAUACGAAGGGGGCUAGCGUUGUUCGGAAUUACUGGGCGUAAAGCGCACGUAGGCGGAUCGUUAAG